rnacentral:misc_RNA from 1 species
CUGAUUCGCCUGCCCUCAGCUAUGGUCUUCUUUGAGUUUAUGUAAACAGGAUACAACACAACCCAUUUCUUUAUAUUGGGCAUAUUUCCAUCCAUCAUCUCUGCCAUUGAAUUCCAAUUAUACGCUAAUUGAAAUAUUUGCCCUAAGCUCAAAUUAGGAUCCGAGACGGACAGCAACCAAGUGAUGUAAGAGAAACACGGUGAUUGGCUCUGGUAUUUCGUGUCUUUCUGCCACCUCCCUUUUGGAAUGGUGAUUUUUAGGGUUUCACUGGAUCUUCUUCAGAGGCUCCAGAAUAGAAGAGGUUUCGAGGAGGAAUUUCGACGGCAAGAGAGAAUCAAGGUACUGGAGGGGGGAGAGGGAGAGAGACAGGGGGCUGCUCCUGCAAACAAAUGGAAAAAUCAACAAGACGACUCCAGAAAAU